UACGAAGGGGGCUAGCGUCGCUCGGAAUCACUGGGCGUAAAGCGCACGUAGGCGGCUUUCUAAGUCAGGGGUGGAAUCCUGGAGCUCAACUCCAGAACUGCCUUUGAUACUGGGAAGCUCGAGUCCGGAAGAGGUAAGUGGAACUGCGAGUGUAGAGGUGAAAUUCGUAGAUAUUCGCAAGAACACCAGUGGCGAAGGCGGCUCACUGGUCCGGUACUGACGCUGAGGUGCGAAAGCGUGGGGAGCAAACAGG
rnacentral:rRNA from 1 species